GACACACACACACACACACACACACACACACAAACUUGAGACCCAAUGAAGGGUAUUGACUUCCUCAGCAUCACACAGCAAGUUAGAGACAAACCAGGGCUAUGGCUGGUCCUUCUAUGACAUCUUUGCUUCACCUGGCUCCACACUCCAUCUUUUCUUCACCAGAAGACCCCUAAGCUGCCAUCUCUCUAUUGCUCAAGGUGACAGUCCCCGGAAACUGUCAAGGAAUUCCUAAGCGGGGGGCAGGGGGAGGGGUCCCUUCUCCUGAGCCCACCUCUGCACUCAGCUUCUCUCUCCCCACAGCCCUGGCAGUGGGGACUGUGCCCCUGGUGCUCAGUGCCGUGGGCUUCACUGGGGCAGGAAUCGCCGCGUCCUCCGUAGCAGCCAAGAUGAUGUCCGCAGCAGCCAUUGCCAACGGGGGUGGGGUUUCUGCUGGGAGCCUGGUGGCUAUUCUGCAGUCCGUGGGGGCAGCCGGACUCUCCACAUCAUCCAACAUCCUCCUGGCCUCUGUUGGGUCAGUGUUGGGGGCCUGCUUGGGGAAUUCACCUUCUUCUCUCCCAGCUGAACCCGAGGCUAAACAAGAUGAGGCAAGAGAAAAUGUACCCCAAGGUGAACCUCCAAAACCCCCACUCAAGUCAGAGAAACAUGAGGAAUAAAGGUCACAUGCAGAUGCA
rnacentral:sRNA from 1 species